GCAUUCGCGAUCAAGCCGUCAUCGAGAGCGCAUCACUAGCCUGUCCUCACCUCGACUCUCUCUCUCACUCUUGGACACGGCUCGCCUCUGCUACUACUACUACUGCUACUACUGCUGCUACCACUACUACUACUGCUACCACACCUCCCUCGUCUUUCCCUCGCUGCUUGGAAGAACGAGGCGUGUCCACAAGGAAUCAGAUAGCAAGAUGGUAGGCGGCGGCGGCGGUGUGAGGCUGGCUGCGGCGGCCCUGGUUUUGGUGGCGGUGGUGGUGGCGGCGACAGCGUACCCUCUGGCGCAGGGGGAUGACGGCGAGAGGGGACUGGCCGCCUUCAGGAGGAGUCUGUACGGCGCUGGGUCGGUGCGCAGGACUCAGAACCAGUGCACCAAUGACCCGCUGCAGCAACAUAUGUGCGAGAUGUGCGCUAAGGAGACCAAAUCGCAGAAGGUGUACACGCUCUGUUGCAAUGGUGCAGACAACGCGCAGAUCUGGUGUCAAAGUUUCCUCGGCUUCGGCAUCAGCAACAUUUAAAGCCCCUCUUCGCCUCCUCUGCUCCUCCUGCUCCUCCUGCUCCUCCUCCUCGUACUGUAGUUGAAGCUUCGUCCGCCUCCAACUCCUCAUCGUCGUCGUCCUCCUCGUCUGCGUCGUUUUCGAAAUUCUCAAUCUCAGUCUUCUUGUCGUCAAUCUCCUCCUCUUCGAAGUCCGCCUCCUCCUCCUUCUCCUUGCCUUCGUUUUCUUCGUCGUUCUUGAAGUUCUUAAUCUCAUUCUUCUUGUCGAUCUCCUCCUCUUCGAAGUCCUCCUCCUCGUCCUCGUCAUCCUCGUCAUCCUCGUCAUCGUUGUCGUCAGUCCCGUCUAGUGCUGCCGUCCCACCUCCACCUCCACCUUCACCACCACCACCACCAUGAUGAUCUCCGCUCCUCGUAACCACCUCCACCCUUCGUGAUAUUCGCUGUGCUCGCUCCUGGCUUCAUCCACCUCCACCUCCAUCACCACCACCACCACCACCACCGCAAGAUGCUUUAACUCCACUCAGCUUUACCUUUCGUCGUGAUGUUCUCCGUUCACUCCACUUACUCCAGCCAGUCACUCCACCUCCACUCUCCACCUUAUCCCUCUACCUCUCCUCAAGUUCAUAUCCACCACGUUCCUCCUCCUCCUCCACCUCCUCCUCCUGCCCCUUUCCAUCACAAUAUCCUUCAUCUCCUUCAUCUCCUUCUUCUUCCUCCUCCUCCUUCCUUCCAGUUCGCUCGUCACUCCCAGGCUCUUCCCCAACGCGUCAGUAUCGGAGUGAGGAGUAAUGAAGUGAACUGAGAGGAACUUGUUGUCGUGUGAUGUGAUCUUCUGGUUUUCGCCUCGCUAGUGUUACCAACCUUGAGUUACUCCCCCUCCUCCUACUACUGCUGCAACGACUACCACUGCAACUACUACUACUACUACUACUGCUACUACUACGACAACUACUACCACUACGAAAAGCAUGGAGGGAUUUGCCACUUCAUUUUUAUGUGUUUCAUCACCACCACCACCACCACUACUACCUCCCCUACCACAAUUAUGACCGCAGAGAUAGCUACCACUAUUGCCUGCCACUACUACCAUAACGACCACCACCACCACCACCACCACCAUUCUCUCCCUUCAUCCUCCCCCCCCCCCCCCACCCCACCCCAUACACACACACACACGCCUGAAUCUAAUACUCUCUAAUGCUCUAAUAAUACUAAUUUAAUACUCUGGCCAGUAACUUAUGUAAUACUACUAUUAUUAUUAUUAUUAUUAUUAUUAUUAUUAUUAUUAUUAUUAGCUACCCCUCUCUUUAUCUUUCUUUCUCCCUCAGAUAAAACAAAAGAGAGUCGUGUUAAUAUCUUUCAGCAUCUUUAGGAGUGUCAUCGGAAGCUUGAAUAAUCGUAAUCUAUUGGGAAGUGUGAGAGAAAAAGCAAUUCUAAAUAUAGUGAUAAGAUAUAGAGUUGUUCAAAUGUGUCACACCUCUCUCCUCCUCCUCCUCCUCCUCUUCUUCUUCUUCUCCCUUCUUACUCCUUCUCCUGCUCCUCCCUGUUAUCGCUGGUUAUCCACCUCCUUGUUCAUCUUGUGCUUAUUCUUUUUCGUCCUCAUUCUCGUCUUCGUUCCUCUUCUUGUUCUUCAUCUGUUAUUUCGCGUUCUCGUUUCUGUUUUUUACCUUUCUGUUCUUGUUCUUACUCUUUUUUCUUUGUCCUUAAUCUCGUUCUUCUUGUUCUUCUUGUUCUCAUUCUUGCUCUCCUUGUUCUUGUUUUCUUCCUUUUUGCCCUUCCCCUUGUUUCUGUUAUUAUUAUUCUUGCCCUUGCUCUCCUUUUUUUUCAUAUUCUUUUGGCUCAAGUAAUUAAAAGUGAGGUCGAUAACACCCUACAACAUCACGAUAAGAGAGUUAAUUAUUCAGCAAAAGGAGGUUACGGUAAUUACCCUCCACACAUACACACACGUUAUUUGCAUAUUCAGGACAGGUGUCACGAUAAGGCGCGGCAGGUAGCAAUGGUAUACUUAAGUAGGGUAUGGAGGUGUGUCGUAAGGACGUACGUGAGAGAAAAUAAGGGAGAGAUGAGUCAGUAUGUAAUGGUAGGAAGUGUUAUCAUUGUUACGUGUGAUAGGAAGGGAGGGAGGGAGAUGAUAUAGGUGUGUGUGGGUGUGUGGGGUGGGGGGGGGGAGGUGGGGGAGGGAUGUGUGUGGGUGGGUAUGGGUGCAGAUUGAGUUGGUGUGUGUGUGUGUGUGUAUGUGUGUGUGUGAACUCCGCAUCGCUUCAUAUCUCAAAAGCUUCAUACGGUUCAGUCAUGCGCUUCGAGAUAUAGAAAUGAACUUGAGGUAAAUUUAACGUCCACCCACACAGUCCACUUUAAACUAAUUCAUUAUUCAUAGCGAGUCGUAACUAUCUCAAAAGUCAACUAUUCCAUUGACUAUUCUACUAUUCUAUUUAUCAACCCUUCGCUAUUUGAUUCAGUCUUAACUAUUUCCGAGCUGGACUAUCGAGGACAUAUUAAAGCGUUCUAACUACCAGGGGCGUGACGGAGAUGUGCACUGAGGCCACGCACGGCUAUAAUGUAUACCCCGAACAUUACCUUUAACUACCUGGCCAUUCAGCGCGUUCCUCAACAAGUCUCAUAAAACUCCCUACCUGGCCACCAAUUAGUCACUGCUUUCACCACCAGAGCGCAGUGCCAUCAUCUCAGAGUAAACAGAUUCCCACGUUCUCUAUUUCACGUGAUAAGUUUUCCUGCGACCCACGAACCUUUUUUUCAAGAGUCGAGUGAGUCAGUCAGCCCUCGCUCCGUGCUGGUGAGUCGUGAAUCUUGAGUGCUGAGUCGUGGGUGGAUGGGUGUGGAUGGAAGUGUUGAGUCGGUAACAUUGAGAGAGAGAGAGAGAGAGAGAGAGAGAGAGAGAGAGAGAGGAAUGCGUGUGUGUGUGCAUGAACAAAAGGAGAAGGAGGAAAAGGAGGAGAGGGAAUAAUUACUUAUCAUUUCCAUUAUUGCAGUCUAUGUUAUGUUAGUGGACAAGAGAAAGCGAAAGAGAGAGGGGAAUAGAACCAACGUAUUGCAUUUGUUCUAUCUUGUGUUAGUGUGGCAUUUGGGUUUAUGUAGUUUAUGAUUUGGUCUGCUCUGAUUCCAUUCCAAACUCAGCUAUUCUUUACAAUCGCAUCAGAUCACACCCUCUGAAACUUAAGUCCUAACGCCCUACGUCUUCUGUCCGGCCCUAGUGACACUGAAAGCCGAGAUACUACGCAAGCAAACGACCUUAGAAGUUGGUAAAGAGGUUUGGCUGGGGGAGGACUCAUUGCAUAAUCAGCUAAUUGAGUUAACAAAAGGAAAGGUAGGACGAGAUUUAGCAAGGUGACGGAGCAUUCAUUAUUCAUCCAGAUAAUUUUAAGGGCAUUUCAAGAAGGGAAGAGAAGGAAGGGAAAUAGGGGAGCGAGGGAAGAGCAGAGCGUUUCAUGUUGGCAAGGACGUAGAGUAUAAUGAAGUUAGUGAGCGAUACGACUUAGAGUGAAGAGGAAGGAGAGGAAGGGAGGGAAAGGGAGGUGUAGAAGAGAGUGGUGUGGAAAUUGUGUUAACUUAAGAUAUGAGGGACAUGGUUCGAGCCCCUUCCACCUUCUUCCAUCUUCUUCCACCCUUUUUCCACCCUUCUUCAGUCCUCCCUUCUUCCAUCCCUCUUCCACUUCCUUCCAUUUUUAUCUCCCUUCUUCCUUCCUUCCUCCCACCUUCUUCUAGCUUCCUCCACCUUCCCUUCCACUUUCCUCCACCUUUACCUCCAUCUCUCCGCCCUUUAGAGUUCCCAGUUAUUUUUUCUCCUCUCUCCUUUCCUUCUCUCUCUCCUGUCAUGCCUAACUUGCUUAUUUCCUUUUUCCUCUUUAUUCUUUUUUUUAACUUUAUUUUUGCAUGCAGAAGUUCAGAGGUUGAUAAAUUUUUCCCUAACCUCAUUUUCCCAACUUCAACAUUUUCUCUGAUAUUCUUUUUAAGUGUUUCCCUAGAUGUUUUUUUUUUAUUCAGUAUUCAUUUGUGAGUCUGUAUUCCUUUCCCUUCCUUUCUCUCUUUUCUGUAAUAGUUGCGCUCGCUUUUGCAGUUUUUAGUUCCUUUUCUUAGACUUUCAGACAACAAAACGCAUUCUCAAGUAGAUGUUCUCCCUAAUAAGUUCACAUUGUUUCUCUCUCGUCAACAAACUUCUUUUAUCAUUCUGAGUUCCAAUGGUGUGCUUGAUUUCAUGGUCUCGUUUCCUUUCCUUUUCUUAUACUGUCAGACCACAAAACACAUUCCCAAGUGGAAGUUCUUCCUUAUAAGUUCACAUAUUUUCUCCUUGUCAACAAACUUCUUUAUCAAUCUGAGUUCCAAUGGUGUGCUUAAUUCCAUGGUCUUGUUUCCUUUCCUUUUCUUAUACUUUUAGACCACAAAACGCAUUCCCAAGUAGCUACAAAGUUGUUCUCCCUAAUAAGUUCACAUGUUUCUCAUCUUGCCAACAAACCCCUAUCAUUCUAUACUACCUUCCCUUCCUUCCUUUCGUUUCUCAGGUGGUUGUGGUGUUUGAUUCUAAGGUCCUGAUCCUCACACGUUCAGGUCACGAAACAUAUUGUACACUGUUCCCUUUGACCCCUUGUGGUGGUGGUGGUGGUGGUGGUAGUGGUGGUGAUGUAUUUGUGCAGUUAUUUUCUUUUUCCUUUCUUUAUCCAGUUUUCUUUGUAUCCAUCUUUAUCUUCCCUUGCUUAUCUCUCUCUUUCUAGUUUAUCUUUUCUCAUUUCCUCCUCUCCCAUUAUCUUUCUGCUUCCCGUUUUUCUUCGUUUUUUCUCAUUUAUUUUUUUCAUUUUUAUUCUCUUUCUCAUUACCAUUUGUUCUUCUUUAUCUUUCCUCAGACAUUCUCCAUUCUCUCUCUCUCUCUUGUUUCCCUCCUCCUCCUCCUCCUCCUCCUCCUUUUCCUCUUCCAUUCUCUUUCUUCCAAUUUCUUCUCUAUCUUUUCUUAGCUUCUCUUCAUUUUCUCUUGUCUAUCAUUCUCUUCCCUCCUCCUCCUCCUCCUCCUCCUCCCUUAUGUGGCUGAAAACUUAAUUAAAUCACGAUAAGUUAAUUAGGGCACGUUAGGUUAGCGUAGAAACACCCUUAUGGACGUGUGUUGUUUGUAUAUUUAUUGUUUGUUUGUUAGUUUGUCUGUUUACCUUGUGUUUGUAUUUGUUUGUCUUCUUCUUCUUCUUCUUCUUCUUUGUCUUCUUCUUUGUCUUGUUCUUGUUCUUUUUGUUCCUCUUGUUCUUCUUGUUCUUGUUCUUCUUCUUGUGAGUUUGUGUAUAUACGAAUCUGUCUCUGUUGGUUGGUUUGAGGUUUUGUUGUAAUUGUUGCUAUUAUUAUUAUUAUUAUUAUUAUUAUUAUUAUUAUUAUUAUUAUUAUUAUUAUUAUUAUUAUUAUUAUUAUUAUUAUUAUUAUUAUUAUCAUUAUUAUUAUUAUUAUUACUGGUGUCGUCAUUGUUGUUGUUGCUGUUGUUGUUGAUAUAUUAUUAUGAUGGGCAACCUGGACUGUACUCAACCUUGCAACCUUACCUGUAUCCUACCUGUAUACACACACAUACACACACACGCACACACACACAGACACGCACACACGCACACACACACAAGUUAAACAGAUAGAGCAGAGAAGCAACAGUUUAAUCUUCCUCCUCUUCCUCUUCCUCCUCCUCCUCCUCUUCCUCCUUCACAGCACCCUCUUCCCCCCCUCCUCCCCCCCAAAGCACCUCUGCCUCACACCUCCCAGCAUCAAUGUACAAAAUAGAUCCUCAUAACACAUAUAUAAAAAAAACCCUCUGUAAUACAUUAAAACUCGUAUAGGAACAAAAAAUAAUACCGAGAGAAAGAAAAAAAUAAAUGAAAAUAAUAGGAAAAUGAUGUAAUAUACUACGCGCUUUAAAUAUUUAUUCUAUGUUAUUAUAUCUAUCUAUUUAUUAAGUGAAGGGUGAAGGGCACGAGACCAACCAACCAACUGACUGACUAACUAACGGCCGUCUCUCUUACUAAUAAAAGUUGUAUUGCUAAUGGAAGGAAAGAAAAGGUUUAUAUAUAUUCUAUCAUUUAUUAAUAAAAUCCGGAGUGUGA